CGGAGUUAAAGUACAUGUAGACUAUGAAUCGGCUUACGUGAUAGCCUCUGUCUUAAAGGAUUUUCUACGGCACAUUCCAGGAAGCUUAUUAUCAUCAGAUCUCUAUAAUAAUUGGGUCUGUGUAAUGGACAAAGGAAAUGAUGAGGA